GGAUUGAACGCUGGCGGCAUGCCUUACACAUGCAAGUCGAACGGCAGCACGGGAGCAAUCCUGGUGGCGAGUGGCGAACGGGUGAGUAAUACAUCGGAACGUGCCCAAUCGUGGGGGAUAACGCAGCGAAAGCUGUGCUAAUACCGCAUAAGAUCUACGGAUGAAAGCAGGGGAUCGCAAGACCUUGCGCGAAUGGAGCGGCCGAUGGCAGAUUAGGUAGUUGGUGAGGUAAAGGCUCACCAAGCCUUCGAUCUGUAGCUGGUCUGAGAGGACGACCAGCCACACUGGGACUGAGACACGGCCCAGACUCCUACGGGAGGCGAGCAGGUGGGAAUUUUGGACAAGUGGGCGAAAGCCGUGAUCAGCCAUGCCGCGUGCAGGAUGAGUCCGUUCGGUUGUAAAC
rnacentral:rRNA from 1 species